rnacentral:lncRNA from 10 species
AGAUUUCACUGUAGAAACAGUGAUGACACAGUCUCCAGCUUCCCUGUCUUUGUCUCUGGAGAAAAAAGCCACCCUGACUUGCAGGGCCAGUCAGUGUUAGCAGCUACUAAGCCUGGUACCAGAAGAAACCUGAGCGGGCUCCCAGGCUCCUCAUCUAUGGUACAGCCCUGAUUUGUGAUAGUGGGUCAGGACAGGGCUUACUCUCACCAUCGGCAGGCUGGAGCCUGAAGAUUUG